ensembl:lncRNA
UGUAUUUUAAUGCAUAGCAAAGAGGUGCUUUCCUGGCCGUGUACAUUGAGAGAACGUGAGGGGGUAAUGGGAGGACGACUCUCCUAUAGGGGUCCCUACUCGCAUGCCAUAUGUGGCCAUAGGCUAAAACAGCUGCGUAUGGUGAGCUUUGAAAAAGCCAAACAAGCGUGCAAACCCGUGGCAGCUUUCUAAAACGAGCCUAAAAGACAAUGAAAUGUUCUGCCAGAAAGUACAGGAGGCGGAAGAGAUUAAAAAUAAUCACCAUAUCGGUCCGCCCUCCACCCCCAUCCCAGCUCAGAGCCCACGGCUCCGCGGCUUUGCGGGAGCGUUGCCCGGAGAGGGACCUCGAAGCCGGGCGGGGGGGGGGAGGGCAGCGCCGUGGGACCAGGCCGGGCCAGGGGGUGCGCGGGGCGAGCGGCCCGGCUCUGAAUCUCUGCCCCAAUACGGUUCUCAUAGAGACGCGCAGUAGUUACCCAAAGCCGUAACUGUCUCUGAAAUUAUUCAUUAAAGUCAUUCUCGGCGAUCUCACGGCGCCCGCGCUUACAUGUACGACCUUUGCACCGGCAGGGCGUGCCAUCGCCCUCGCCCCGGCGGUGUGCUCCCAAUAGCUGGGGAGGGGGCGGAGGGGGGGGACUCGGGGGUGCUGCCUCUCGCCCCGCUCGCGAUGUUCGGCUGCUCGGGGCUCGGCCGAUUUCCCCCUUUUGGAGGAGGCGCGCGGUGCAGCCCGGCAGACACCCUGGGAGCGAGGAGGGUAUUUUGGGGAGUUGCAGUGUUGUGCGGAAGAUCAUGUCUGUGCCCUGUGGUGCUGUCAGCAGUGACAGAUCCCAGACGCGGCCGCUACUGUAUGGCAGAUUGAGUUUCUCAGCAGAAAACUCUCCCUCCCUCCCUCCCUCCUGAACGUCUUCAAAAACCUUCUCCAGAUACUGCGGGUCACUUCGGCUCCAGCGGAGAGAGAAAAGGGGAAAAAGCCUUCCCGGUCUCCCACCUUCCCUUCCUCCCGCCGGCUCUUCCUGGGGCGCGGGGGGGCCGUGCCCUACCCUCCCCCCUCUCCCCCCCUCGGGGGUGCUCUCGGCUCCCCGAUCGCCUCCAGUGCGCUCAGAGCCCGCAGCGGGACGUCUUCUUCAGCACCAGAACAUGCUCCGGUGGUGUCUCGGUGUGCAGGGAGAUUUUAAAAGAGGACACACACGAGAAAGAGGUCCUUUCUCUGCCUUUUUCCCACCGCGGCUUUCUGAAGAGACAAACGGGUUCCAACUGCAGCGUAGGCAAAAAGAGAGGUGGACGCGGGCAGAAGUGAACGCGGAUGGAAGGGUGGGAUCAGCCCCGGGCUUUUGUUUGUAUGGAUUGUGAUCCGUGGCCGCGUUUCUCCCUUUUCUCGGCGGCUUUUGUUCCACGGUUGCUUCCAUUUCCGUGCGUUCGGGCCGAACCCCGCCUGUCCCGCCCCGCGGAGCUCUCCCGUUCGAUUUUGGCUCCGUUGUAUUCGAACCAUUUAUUGUGCUCCGUAACUCACGUGCUCCACGCCGCCGUCAGCCGAGAGGCUCUGGUGGCGUUUGCGAACGGGCAGCGUCCUUCGGUCAGCACGGAUGGUACCGACCCGAUCCGGGCUGUGGGCACCAGAGGGCUCUCAGCACGUUAAGGAGACGCGAAUUUGGCAAACAGUUCAGGAUGGAAAUGAUCAAACGAUUCAAAAGAGAAAAGGGGAAAAAAAAAAAAAAAAACGAUGAAUAAACCACAUGCAGCAGUCGCUGCUUUCCUGACGUUGGUAAUUAUUUACACCUGAUCCUUAGUUUACUCCAGUCACGGUUUCAAAUGCGAACCUUUAAAGAAUUUAAUUCUUUCCAGCGCUCUGGCAUAGAGACGAAAGGAAAAAGGAGAGCAGCGCGGAGCGGCGAACAGCGGCUGUCCCGGGACGCUCCCGUGGGCUCCCGGCCGCACCGGGCCGCGCACCCAGACGGCCCUCCGCUGCUUCUGCUACACGGGCCGCGCGGCUCGGCCUGACCCUGUGGCUAUUGAGUCUUUUUGAAGCCGUUUUCCGUCGUUGCACCUAUGUCGGAGGGGUGGGACGAGGGCCCCUCUCGCCCCGCGGGGCAGCCCCGGGCUCCGCUCCCGCCCGGUGCCUGUCGGGUCGGGGGGAUCUGCAACAAACAGUCCCCGGACGCGUUUUUGUAACGGCCCGGAGUUCUCCCAGGUGAACCCCCCCCGAGUCUCACAGUGAGGCGCUGCUGCUGCGCUGCGCUCCGGCUGCGGGAGUUGGAGCGCACGGGGGUGGGUGAGGGCAUCGCCCCGCGUCACGGGGCUCAGCCCGCGGCUCUUUGCGGGCUCUGCUCCCUCCCGGGGCGCCAUCUGGAGGGGUCGGCUGGCUGCUGGCUGGGGAGAGCCGGGGGGUGGCUGGAGUGUGGCGACGGGAAAGGAAUAUGGAGUCAUUAAGGCUGGACUCAUCGCGCUGGGUGCGCGGAGGUGAGGAGGCACAACGACUGCGACGCGUUCCUCUGUUGAGGUCAAUCUCUUCAGCCGUGCGCUCAGCGAUACCGUUUUGUUUUGGCUUUUGAUGGGCGAUCGAGGCGAUAGAUGUCAAUCCCGUGAUAUUCAGCGUUGCACUUUCAGUGAAGCGCUGGCACCUCAUCCUCUGUUUGGGGAACGCAGUUACUUCCGACCUGUGCAACUCUAACGCAUACACCGUGCACAAACAUACACGCACCAUACACACAUACACGCACCAUAUGUACAAAUAUAACCCGACCGAGGAGCGCAGCUUAGGAAGGACGGGCAGCGCAGUUCGCACCAAAGCAUCUCGUUAAAACCACCGAGAAAACAGAGGUUGAAACAUGAUAAUGACGCAGAAUCCAUUCGGACCGAGCCUAAGCCGUAUAAACAUAGGAAGCGUUUAAAACCUCAGCAUUUCUCUGUUGUUUCUUUUGGUUUUAAAUAAGACAAAGCGGCCGCUUUAUUUCACGGUGCGUGUAUAUAGACGCACGAACGUACGGCCCCGAAGAGAGCUCUGGCACCUGCUGUAAGCUGGAGAUCACAGAGCAAAUGCUUUCUGCUUUCGUAAAUAAUAAACGCUGUCGGCGGACGGCAUUUCUCAGCAGGAAAGCCUCGCUGAGCGAAUGCGCUGCGAAAAUGUCCUGAAGGCUGAAUUCAUCCUAGAGCGGGACCAGAACCCGGGAGGAUUCGGCCCGCGUUUCUCAGGCUGGAGACACCCGAAUAGACCCCUGGGUUUGUUUAUUAGUUAUUAUUAUUAUUAUUAUUUUCUUAAAAUCUGCAGGGACGGCUUUACUGAGCGUGCUUGGGUUUAUUUUUACUUGCUGAGCAGCUGGACGGGAAGAUUGGUAAUGCUAAAAGGGCUCGAGGAAAGAGACGGGGGAAAAAAAAAUGAAGAUAUAUAUUUUAAAAAGGGGGGAAAAGGGCCACUUUCUAUGCUCGACAUCCGAGGGGGCCGCCCGGCUGCACGGAGCGGCUCCCCGUGCCCACGGCCCGGCCCUCCACCGGCAGCGCGCUGCCAUCCGCGGCCGCGGGGCGGAGGGAGCAGCGGUAAUGGUUUUCCCCGCAGAUGUUGUGCCGGUGUUGAAGGGACCGAAUCUCGACUUCCAGGCGCAGCUGCGGGAUGUUGUAUCCUAUCAAUUCAUAACAAGGAGGCAUUCUGGAAAGCCUCGUAAGAAUAUUUAUUUUAAAAUGUGUGCUGAAAAGAUAUAUGCCGGGGGGGAGAGGGGGGGGGGGGGGGAGCAGGGCUGGGCGCCUUCAGUUUUGUUACGAAGCCAAAAUGGCACAGUUCGAGUUGUGAACAAAUGGUUUCCAGAGAACAGAUCUUUGCUCUUUCUUUUCCCUGUAGAAAGUUUGUUUGAAGUUCCCGGAUUUUUAAAUGUUAAAUAAUAUUAAUACCAAAAAGAAAACUUCGGGGCUUCUUGUUUUAAUUUGGAAGGGCCGGCCUGUGCUGCUCUUUUCCUUUUUCUCUUUCUCUCUCCCUUUCUUCCUUCAUUUCUUCCUUUCCCUCUCUCUCCUUUCCUAUCUUUCUCUCUCUUUCUUUCCCUCUUUCUCUCUUAGUCUCCUUCCUUCCUUCCUUCCUUCCUUCCUUCCUUCCUUCCUUCCUUCCUCCCUCCCUCCCUCCCUUCCUUCCUUCCUUCCUUCCUUCCUUCCUUCCUUCCUUCCUUCCUUCCUCCCUUCCUCCCUUCCUCCCUUCCUUCCU